rnacentral:rRNA from 1 species
AGAGGGGUCUGCGUACCAUUAGCUAGUAGGUGGGGUAAUGGCCCACCUAGGCUACGAUGGUUAGCGGGUCUGAGAGGAUGAUCCGCCACACUGGCACUGGAACACGGGCCAGACUCCUACGGGAGGCAGCAGUGAGGAAUAUUGCGCAAUGGGGGCAACCCUGACGCAGCGACGCCGCGUGAGUGAGGAAGGCCUUCGGGUCGUAAAGCUCUGUCAAAGGGAAAGAAAUGUAUAAUGGCUAAUACCUGUUAUAUUUGACGGUACCCUUAAAGGAAGCACCGGCUAACUCCGUGCCAGCAGCCGCGGUAAUACGGAGGGUGCAAGCGUUGUUCGGAAUCACUGGGCGUAAAGGGCGCGCAGGCGGUUUGGUAAGUCAGAUGUGAAAGCCCACGGCUUAACCGUGGAAGUGCAUUUGAUACUGCCAGACUUGAGUACCAGAGGGGAAAGUGGAAUUCCCGGUGUAGAGGUGAAAUUCGUAGAUAUCGGGAGGAAUACCGGUGGCGAAGGCGACUUUCUGGCUGAGUACUGACGCUGAGGCGCGAAAGCGUGGGGAGCGAACGGGAUUAGAUACCCUGGUAGUCCACGCCGUAAACACUUCUAGCUAAUGCAGGGGGUGU